ACACUUUUUCAGUUUCUGUCCACGUGAAAAUAAUAUAUGUUAUGUUUUAAAGUUACAAAUGUCAUAGACAUAUGGUUAAAAGAUUUGAAGAUAUAACAUUAUACAUUCUAAAAGUUUGUAUCUCCUACCCUCUUUAAGUUUUCACCCAUCACAAAAAUUUUAAAAAUAUUAAUGUCAACCAAUCGAGUUUCGGAUAGGAUCCUCUCAAAUACUGGAGAGCUUUGACAGAACGAUGCUUUGACAAAUUGAUCUACAAUUAUAGGGAAAAAGCAUAUAUAAUACAUCUUUUUAGGAUUUUAUUCAAACCUUAUUAAUUCGAAUCAUCAUGUCAUAAGUCAUAAAGGAAUCUAGUACUAGAUGAGAAUUGAGGCACUGACGAAAAACAUAUUGGCAAAUAUGAUUUUAUGUUUUUGAAUAAAAAAUACUCCAUUUCUCCUUAUAUUGUGCUGGAGAGUCCGAUACUGGGAAAACGUCAUACUCGUAUCCAUUAAUAUUUGUAACUGAUGAGCAAUAUAUUACAUACUAUCCAUAACCUUAAAUUAGCAUGAUUGAUGAUUCUUGGUGCCUAAUUGACUUUGUCUCACAUGGUUUAGUGUUUUAGACUUUAUUGGACUAAUAUUCCUAAAAUGAGUUAAUUUGGGAUUAUUUGGCCUGAAUAAAUCUAUUAUCAUUUUCAGAUCACAUUUGGCACCAAUGGCAUUUUGGGCAUUAUGGAAGUCGAGGAUAUGUGUUGAAGUGAAGAUUGUAUUUUUAAUUUAGGAGUUAGUUUUNAAAUCUAUUAUCAUUUUCAGAUCACAUUUGGCACCAAUGGCAUUUUGGGCAUUAUGGAAGUCGAGGAUAUGUAUUGAAGUGAAGAUUGUAUUUUUAAUUUAGGAGUUGUUUUUAUUGUAAUUUAGUCUUGGGCCCAUUGUUUAGGCCCAAUUCGGUUUAUGUGUGUUGGAGGGGUUAAAUUCGGAUUCCCCACUCCAUACACACACACUUCACUUCAGUUUGCCUCAUUUUGAAACACAAAGACAUUUCCGUUUUCCCUCUUUUUGGCUCUGCUAGGGUUUCACCCUUUUUCAUUUCUCAUUUUCGGUUUGCUCUUCCAUUGCCAUGGAAGGAUGACCUUAAGUUGAUGUUCACUAUUAAAGAGGGAAUUAUGGUUAUCUGGCCUACAAAAGUCCUCAUGGUUAUGUAUGGGUUUGUAUCAUCGUCAUCUAGACUACUAUCAUACGGGAUUUUCGAUUCCCGCAUUAUUUAUCAUCUUUAGAUUGAUACAUCAAAUGAGAAGAUCAUGAAUGUGGAUUCUCGACUGCACUUGGUGAGUGACAAUCUAAUUCACAAGAUAGGAAUUUCUAAAUAUCAUAUAGGAUGGAUGUAUUAGUAUGAUUAUAACUUUGUCGUUGGUUUUGAUUUAUGGAGUAACAAAUUCGGAAGUUAAUGGUUGGAAUUUGAAAAUAAUCUUUUGAAACCGAGGAUUGAGUUGUGAACAAACGAACCAAAGGGAUUUAGCCGCUUUAUUACAUUGCUUAAAUAAUGUUUCUGAAUUUGAUUUAUGUUCAUACUAUCCAACAACAAAAAACCCCUUGUGUGUGUGAGUAUAAGGUGUUUGAAGCUUUGCUUGAAAGAUAAUCCUUGGGAAACGACCUAGGCCUCACUUCCUAGUACUGCAGUUUUAAUUGUUAUAUUAUUUGUAUCGGGUACGACCUCGAUCAAAUUUGGCACCGCUGCCGGGGAUUAUUGGUUCUUGUCAAAGGUUCUUGAAUAUUUGAUGCAUCAAAGUUAAUCACCUUGCUGCUAGUUGUGAGAUACAAACAAGUAGUGACUAGUUUUACUGUUGAUUUUCUAUUUUUGGCAUAACUUUGGAAUCUUUGAUCAGAAUUGAACAUAUUAUAUAUGCAUUUGGGGUAGAAAAAUCCAACGCUUCUUUCUCUACACACUGCAUCUGUAGAAGCCUACUUGAAAAUCCAAAAAGAGUCUGUUUACUAUUUCUUUUUUAUUUUACAAGUUUAUUUUUCCAAUUGUUUUGAUUUUGUUGCAUUUAAUUAAAUUAGUUAGGCUUUGAGUUUUGUCCUGAAACUUUUUGUGUAUGUUUCCUAUGGUAUUAGGAUUUUAUUGAUGCAAANNNNNNNNNNNNNNNNNNNNNNNNNNNNNNNNNNNNNNNNNNNNNNNNNNNNNNNNNNNNNNNNNNNNNNNNNNNNNNNNNNNNNNNNNNNNNNNNNNNNACUCUUUGCAUCCAAUAAAUUCUGAAAUUGAUAGAGCAUUUCAUAGUUUGGUUAGACAAGUUAGGAAUUUAAAUUUAGAUAGUGAGUCUUUUCAUCUUAGUGUUAAUCUACCUGAUAGUGAUACUGAUUCUGCUGUUUCUAUGCAUUCUGCUGUUCCUGUGCAUUCUGUUGUUUCUGUGCAUUAUGUGGCAUACUCUGAAAAUAUGGCUGAACCACCUCCAAUCCCACGUGAGAGGACAUUAAGGGAGCUGGCUGGACCUGAUUUCACAUACGAAAGCUUGUGUAUCCAGUAUCCCAAUGAGGAUGUGCCAUAUGUGCUCAAAACUGGACUAAUCUAUUUGUUGCCUAAGUUUCAUGGACUUGCAGGUGAAUGUCCUCAUAAGCAUCUUAAGGAGUUCCACAUUUUAUGUUCCACCAUGAAGCCUCGUGAUGUCCAAGAGGAUCACAUAUGUUUGAAGGCAUUCCCACAUUCACUUGAUAGUGCUUCAAAAGAUUGGUUGUAUUACUUGGCCCCUGGUUCUAUUACUAGUUAGGAUGAAUUGAAGAGAAUCUUCCUUGAAAAAUUCUUUCCUGCCUCCAGGACCACUGCUAUCAGAAAAGAUAUUUCUGGCAUCAGGCAACUACAUGCAGAAGGUUUAUAUGAAUAUUGGAAGAGAUUCAAAAGACUUUGUGCAAGCUGCCCCCAUCAUCAGAUCUCUGAACAACUCCUCCUGCAAUAUUUUUAUGAGGGUCUGAACAACAUGGAGAGGAAUAUCAUUGAUGCUGUUAGUGGUGGUGCACUUGGAGAUAUGACCCUUUUUUAGGCUAGAGGUUUGAUUGAGAAGAUAUCUUCCAAUUCUCAACAGUUCAGUGCAAGAAGUAGUGAUGCUAUAAUGGUCAGAGGUGUUCAUGAUGUUGGGACAGACUCGGUGAGGCAAGAUAAACUUGAGAAAAAAAUCGACUCCUUUGCUACCUUGGUCACUCAACUUGCCAUAAAUCAACUUGUCUAUAAGUAGUAAUGUGUUUAACUCAAUAAAGUGUGCAUGUUUAGAAGAAAAUUCAUAAAGAAAUCCAAUUGUGUUUUCAUGCUAAAAAAAUUGUGUAGACCUUGUGAAUAGCAAGUGAUUAGUGUUAUGAGUUUGACUGAUUUCAGAAUGUGGAUGCAUAAAUCAGACACAGACUGAAUAGGUUGAAUAAUGAACAAUUUAAUCAAAGGAAAAUAACCUUCAAACUGGUGAGAGAGUGUAUCCAAAUACAGAUGAGUGACUUUACUGGAUUUUGUCAAUUAGCUUUGCCUGAUUUUUGUGUCAAUUGCCAUUAAGCAUGGAAUAUCAAGGAAAUGUAGUAAUCCUGCUAUUGCAUCUAGUGAACCUUCAUUAGAAUAAUUGGUGAGGCAAAUGACAUUGCAGAAUAUGCAAUUCCAGCAAGAGACUAGAGCUUCCAUUCAGAGACAAGAGUCCUCCAUUCAGAAUUUGACCAUCCAGAUGGGGCAGAUGGCUACUUCAUUAAACAAAUUGCACUCUCAGAAUUCUUAUAAGUUGCCUUCCCAAACUGUGGUCAAUCCGAAGAAUGUGAGUGCCAUCACUCUAAGGUCAGGCAAACAGAUUGAAGUUGAUCUAGCUGCAUCAAAAAUGAAGCAACUCAUUUUACAAGAGACUGAGAACACUAGUGAACAAAUUCUUGCUAGUGAACCUUCCACAAGUGUUGCACAACCAUCUUCCGUUCCUCUUCCAUUUCCUCCAAGAGCCAUUCAAAGUAAGAAGAUGGAAGGGGUAGACAAGGAGAUAUGUGACACAUUUAGAAAGGUAGAGGUGAACAUACCUUUAUUUGAUGCAAUCAAACAAAUUCCAAUAUAUGCAAAAUUUCUAAAGGAGUUAUGCACUCACUAGAGGAGGCUAAAAGGUAAUGAGAGGAUCAGCUUGGGAAGAAAUGUUUCAGCACUAAUAGAUAAACUUGUUCCUCGCAUUCCAGAAAAAUGUAAGGACCCAGGUACAUUUGAUGUGCCCUGCAUAAUAGGUAAUAGCAAAUUUGAGAAUGCCAUGCUAUAUCUAGGUGCUUCUAUUAAUAUUAUGCAUAUGUUUGUUUUCAUGUCUCUUUCACUUGGACCUACGCAACCCACUGAGGUAGUGAUUCAAUUAGCAAAUAGGAGUACUGCUUACCCUACUGGUUUGAUAGAGGAUGUCUUGGUUCGGGUUGGUGAACUUAUUUUUCCUGCUGAUUUUUAUAUUCUCGAUAUGAAAGAGAGAUCCUCCCGUAACACAGUUCCUAUCAUUUUGGGGAGGCCAUUUUUUAGAACAUCCCGAACCAAGAUAGAUGUCCAUGUUGGAACAUUAUCUAUGGAGUUUGGUGAUAUUGUGGUCCGGUUUAAUAUUUUUCAAGCUAUGAAGCAUCCAUCUGAGGACCAUUAUGUGUUUCAUAUUGAUUUACUUGAUGAAUUAACUAAUGAUCAUAUCUAUGAUUUUCUUAAUGAUUUUGAUUCUAUGUCAUUGAUAGACUCAUCCACUUAUCAUACAUGCACUGAUUCUGAAAUGUGUAAUUCUUGUAUUGAUGAGUUUCUGCAUAUUUAUGUUGAUCCAAAUGUGGUAGAAUCAUAUUGCACUAACCCAAUUGUUGCAGAUAUCAUACAGCAAUCUGAUUUACUUGUCCAUGUACAAGCUGCAUAAUCUAUAUCUGCUACUUUGGUUCCAUCUGUUUUGCAGGCACCUGUAUUGGAGCUUAAACCUUUGCCUGAAAACCUCAAGUAUGCUUACUUAGAGGAUGAUNNNNNNNNNNNNNNNNNNNNNNNNNNNNNNNNNNNNNNNNNNNNNNNNNNNNNNNNNNNNNNNNNNNNNNNNNNNNNNNNNNNNNNNNNNNNNNNNNNNNGAGCAUUUUCAGUGACUUUUUAGAGAAUUGCAUAGAGGUGUUUAUGGAUGAUUUUACAGUUUAUGGAUCUUCAUUUGAUGCAUGUUUGUAUAGUAUGGAUAGAGUUCUUCAUAAAUGCAUCGAAACUAACCUUGUUCUAAAUUACGAAAAAUGUCAUUUCAUGGUAGAGCAAGGCAUAGUUUUGGGGCAUGUGAUCUCAAAUAGGGGAAUCGGGGUAGACCCUGCCAAGAUAGAUGUUAUUUCACAAUUGCCUUACCCCUCUUGUGUGCGAGAGGUUCGUUCUUUUCUUGGUCAUGCAGGUUUCUAUCGCAGGUUCAUUAAAGAUUUUAGCAAGAAAGCUCUUCCAGUAUCCAACCUAUUGCAAAAGGAUGUGGUAUUUGAUUUUGAUGAGAGAUGUAUGGAGGCAUUUGAUUGCCUCGAGACAGCCUUGACCACCACCCCUAUUAUCCAUGCACCUGAUAUGACAGUCCCUUUUGAGCUGAUGUGUGAUGCUUCUAAUUAUGCAUUGGUGGUUGUCCUUGCUCAGAAAGUGGACAAACUGCCUAGGGUAAUUUAUUAUGCUUCUAGGACUUUAGAUGAUGCACUAGCAAAUUACACCAGAACUGAAAAAGAGCUUUUAGCUUUUGUAUUUGCUCUGGAUAAGUUUAGGUCUUAUUUGCUUGGUUCUAGAAUUGUUGUUUUCACUGACCAUGCAGCUUUGAAGUUCCUAUUGAAGAAAGUUGAUUCUAAACCAAGGUUGAUUAGAUGGAUGCUCUUGCUCCAAGAGUUUGAUUUGGAGAUCCGUGAUAGGAGUAGAGCACAAAAUUUGGUGGCUGACCACUUGAGCAGGAUUGANNNNNNNNNNNNNNNNNNNNNNNNNNNNNNNNNNNNNNNNNNNNNNNNNNNNNNNNNNNNNNNNNNNNNNNNNNNNNNNNNNNNNNNNNNNNNNNNNNNNUUCUUUUGGCUUUUACUAUAUUCUACUUUAUGUUGAUUAUGUUUCUAAAUGGGUGGAAGCUAAGGCCACCAGGACUAAUGAUGCUCGGGUUGUUAUGGAUUUUGUUAGGUCUCACAUUUUUUGCAGGUUUGGCAUACUCAUAGCCAUCGUUAGUGACCAAGGCACCCACUUUUGAAAUAGAUCCAUGCAAACUAUGCUCAAGAAAUAUGGGGUUGUUCAUAGAGUUUUCACACCUUAUCACCCCCAAUGUAAUGGGCAAGCUGAGAUUUCAAACAGAGAGAUAAAGCGGAUUUUGGAGAAGAUGGUACAGCCUAACAAAAAGGAUUGGAGCAACAGACUUGAGGAUGUUCUUUGGGCACAUAGGACUGCUUACAAGGCACCCAUAGGGAUGUUCCCUUACGGGUUGUUUUUGGUAAAGCAUGUCAUAUUCCUGUAGAGAUAGAACAUCGUGCAUACUGGGCUGUGAAAACUUAUAACUUGGCUCUCGAUCAAGCUGGUGAAGAAAGAAAGCUCCAAUUGAAUGAACUCAAUGAGAUCCGCUUAGAAGUCUAUGAAAACUCUACGUUCUAUAAAGAGAAGACCAAAAGAUUCCAUGAUAACUUGAUUUCUAGNNNNNNNNNNNNNNNNNNNNNNNNNNNNNNNNNNNNNNNNNNNNNNNNNNNNNNNNNNNNNNNNNNNNNNNNNNNNNNNNNNNNNNNNNNNNNNNNNNNNAGGUUUCUAGUUUUUGUGAUCUUCUUGCAUGACUCACUUUGGUGCAAAUUGGUUAGCAUAACAUUAUUUCUUGAUUUUGCCCAGGAGUGCAAAAGGUUAAGUGUGGGGGUAUUUGAUGAGCAAUAUAUUACACACUAUCCAUAACCUUAAAUUAGAAUGAUUGAUGAUUCUUGGUGCCUAAUUGACUUUGUUUCACAUGGUUUAGUGUUUUAGACUUUAUUGGACUAAUAUUCCUAAAAUGAGUUAAUUUGAGAUUAUUGUUUAGGCCCAACUCGGUUUAUGUGUGUUGGAGGGGUGAAAUUCGGAUUCCCCACUCCAAACACACCCAAUUCACUUCACUUUGCCUCAUUUUGAAACACAAAGACAUUUUCGUUUUCCCUCUUUUUGCUCUGCUAGGGUUUCACCCCUUCUUGAUUUAUCAUUUUCGGUUUGUUCUUCCAUUGCCAUGGAAGGCUAAAUUUCUGAACUAAGUUCCUUUGGUAAUGUAUCACAACUCUUGAGGUUUUGUUAUUAAUGCAUUUUCGGUUUCUUUAUUGUUGAUUUCUUCUAUCUUAUUUCUGAAUAUGGUUUGAUUAAUGUCAUUGUUUAGAAACUGGUUUGUUGAGUUUAUCUUCACUUAGUUGAUUUACUCUCUCUAGUGCAUGAAUGCUUAGUUCGUGUGAAUUUGUUAAUCGUUUCAUGCUUAUACUGAUUUCACCUAGUUUGAGGUUUAGGUUCUGGAACUUUGAAUUGAUUAUCGUUUAGUUAAUUGAUUCUCAACAAAUUCGGAAGUCAAUGGAUUGAAUCUGAAAAUAAUCUUUUGAAAUUGAGGAUUGAGUUGUGAAGAAACGAACCAAGCCGUUUUAUUACAUUGCUUAACUACUGUUUCUGAAUUUGAUUUAUGUUCAUACUAUCCAACAACAAAAAACCCCUUGUGUGUGUGAGUAUAAGGUGUUUGAAGCUUUGCUUGAAAGAUAAUCCUUGGGAAGCGACCUAGGAGUCACUUCCUAGUACUGCAGUUUUAAUUGUUAUAUUAUUUGUAUCGGGUACGGCCUCGAUCAAAUUUGGCCCAGUAACAACUAUUGCUGGAAUUCCCGACAUCAAAAUAAAGCAUCCAGCCACUAAAUUUCAUGAAUCCAUGGAUUAAUAAUGUUUGAAUGAUGUGUUCCUUUAAUUUUUCAAACUUGGAAAAUAAUAUUUUUUUUUUUUUUUGAAGGAGAUUUCAUUAAUUUUUGUCUUUUUAGUGAUGCCAAAUUUAGGGAUGACAAAAAUAUUUGUUCAGUGGGUACUUCCUACAUUACUCGUAAAGGGUAUCUAUAAAAUAUUUUAUGGAUGAGAACAUGUAUUAUAAUAUUUGUUGUGCAGGUACUUGCAUAUUUAUAAAUAUAUUUUUAGUUAAAUAUUAUAUAUAUAUUAAAUAUUUUUUAUAAGUAUUAUCUAUUUUAUUAUUAUUUUAUAAUGAAUUUCAGUGAUUAAAAUGUAAUAAUAUAUUUUACGUGUCAUAAAAUUUAUUAUUCAUGUAAUAAUUAUUUUACAUAUUGAUUAUUACACAAUAUAUAAAUAUAUAUUUAAACUUAUAAAUUUAUUGGAGACCCACUUAUAUUUGUUACUUGCAUGAGGACUCAUUAAUAAUACGAGCAUGAGUAUAGGAAAGUAUCAUUCAUACUCGUUCCACCCGUUGCCAUUCCUAUACAACUCUUUAUUAUCUUGUCUAAAUGCACUAAUUUUGUAAACCAAGUUUUAGAAAACAUUAAUAUAUGCAUCGAGAACAUUUAAAGUUGAAAGAAAAGGAUAUAUACAAUGACAAUAUAUGAGUUUUAUAUACUGUUAUUACAUUAUACACCAUUGAUACUUAAUUAUCGUUACUUUUUAAAAAAGUAAUUCAAAUGAAUGGUGGAUGAUGAAACGCAUGUAUAUAAAUUUUUACAUUAUCCGUGCAUAGAUUUUACACUCUUGAAUAUAAUUAUCUGAUAAUAAUGUAAUCAUUGUUAAAUUCUAAGUUUACAAUAGUUCUUAUGUUCAACUCUGUUGAUUAAAGAUAUGUCUUUAACUACUUUGAUUAAAUUUACAUAGUACCAGAACUACAAAUUGUUACAUGGCAAAAACAUAUAGAAUCACAUAAUUGUAACUAUUGACUAGUUUAAGAGUAAUAUGAAAGCUAAACUUUUAUAGGAGUUAUGUUCUCCUUCAAAAUAUCACAUUACAUCAUUGUGGCUUUUUCUUUUAAUCAAAAGUUAAGAUUUUACUUUUAAUCAUCUUUCUGCCUGCAUACAUUGAGGUUGCAAGUUUCUCUGCCUGCAUACAUUGAGGCUGCAAGUUGCUCUGUUUUUCAACUUCAACCUGAUCAUAUCAAGCCAUUCUUGAUUCUUUUUGUAUAAGUGAUUUAGCAGUAGAACUCUUAGCCUUUUUGGCACGUGAUUAAUAUGUUUAGUGUGUUAGUUAUUAGUUAGUUUGCUUGUUAAGAAGUUGUUUUUCUGUUACUUCUUUUCCAAGCAAACUUCAUUCGGUUAGCAAGCUAUAAAUACAAAUGUUUGCUGGUUUUGUAAACACACUUUGAAUAAUCAAUACAAUUCAAUACAUUUUUACAUUCUCUCCUCAUUAUGAAGUCUUUUAUGGUAUCAGAGCUCUCCAAGUGAGAGCUCUGCUGCUAAAUCAUUUACACAUCUCCAUCUUCUUGCCAAUUCUUCACAUCUUGUUCACAAGAAAACUCACAAACAUGGACGCUGAAUCAGAUCAAACACAGCAUACAUACCAGAAUCCAGAUGCAACACAAAAUCCCUAUUACUUACAUCCUCGUGAAUAUCUAGGCUUUACUUUGGUAUCUCCUCCCAUUGAUGGAGGAAAGUACCAAUCAUGGUCAAGAUCAAUGAAAAGGGCACUUAGUUCGAAGAAUAAGUUCAAGUUUGUUAAUAUAACAAUACAAGUUCCUCAUCAAUCAGACCAGAUGUAUGAUGCUUGGGAGAGGUGCAACAACAUGGUGAUAUCUUGGAUCACAAGAUCACUAACACAGCAGAUUGCUCAAAGCAUCGUGUAUAUAUAAAAUGCACAAGAAUUAUGGGAUGACCUUAGGGAACGAUUUUCUAAGGGAGAUCACUUUAGGACAUCCGAUCUACUCCAAGAAAUUCAUUCAAUGAAACAGGGUGAAAGGAACGUAUCUGGAUUUUACACAGAUAUGAAGACAGUUUGGGAGGAACUAGAAUCUCUAAGGCCUCUUCCAACAUGUUCUUGCCCUGUAAGAUGUAGUUGCGGCAUGUCUAAAACUAUAAGAAAUUAUAGAGAAUAUGAAUAUAUCAUAUGUUUUUUGAAAGGCCUUAGUGAACAAUUUGACACUGUGAAGGCUCAGAUUCUUCUCAUGGAGCCUAUGCCAUCCAUCAACAAGGUGUUCUCAUUAGUCUUGCAGCAAGAAAGGCAACAUGAGGGUCUAGGGUAUGACAACAAAAGGAUAAUCAAUUAUGUGAAUUCAACUCAGCCAUGGAAGAAUCAAGCAAACAGAAAUUCUGGUAGAUCAAACACAAACUUCAACAAUAGAAAGAAAUACCAAGGAAGUGGUUGGACAUCUACUUAUCCUAAGCCCUCUGGUGCAAAUAGCAACAAUAAAGUCUGCAGUUUUUGUGGAAAGGAUAGGCACACUGUAGAAACAUGUUACUUCAAGCAUGGGUUCCCUCCAAAUUUCAAGUUCAAGGCUAAGCAAGAAGAUGGAUCAAUGAACAACAUUCAUACUGAUCAUGAAGCAAGAGAUAAGAGGCAAGAAACAAGUCACAUGGACAUAAGCAUAGAGCAAACAGAGCAACCUCUACACAUCAGCAACAACCAUCAGCACAAGAUUAACCAAGUUAGCCAAGAUCACCACAGUAAUGACAAUCCUACUAUGUCAGGUACAAUCCUUAACACUCAAACUUGGAUCCUUGAUAGUGGUGCCACUGAUCAUGUCACUAAUAAUGCAUCAAACUUCACAAGUAUUAACACUAUCAAACCAAUACAUGUGAAACUGCCAAAUAACAUCACUAUGAUUGCUCAAUACUCAGGAACUAUUCACCUAACUCAUGUUCUUUCCCUUUAUGAUGUUCUAUACUUACCUAGUUUUAAAUACAAUUUGAUAUCUAUUUACAAACUUGCUUGCUCCUUAAGAUGCAGGUUUGUUUUUUAUAAGAACCUUUGUUUGAUUCAGGAUAUGACUUCCUCGAAGACGAUUGGUCAUGCUGAAUAGAAAUCAUAAGACUACUUCACAUGUAAUAGGAUCUGUUAAUAAGUACAAUAAUCAUAAAUUUGAUGUUUGGCAUUUUAGAUUGGGCCAUCCCUCUUUGCAUGUUUUACAAAGCAUGAAUAAAAUCUUUCAUUUUGUGAAGUUUGACUCCAAUCUUGUUUGUGAUAUAUGCCACACUACUAAACAAACUAAGCUUUCUUUUCCUAAGAGUACAUCUCAUAGUUCACAACCUUUUGACCUCAUACAUAUGGACAUUUGGGGGGCCCUUAGCCUUCCCACCAUCCAUGGUCAGAAAUACUUCUUGACCAUUGUAGAUGACUUCAGUAGAUAUACAUGGAUUCAUCUUAUGACUAACAAGGGAGAGGCAAGAAAACUGGUCCAUAACUUUUUUCAACUAGCCAAUACUCAAUACAACAAAAGAAUCAAAGCCAUUAGAACUGAUAAUGGCUUGGAAUUCAUACAACCUGAGUUUUAUGCUAGUCUUGUUGUCAUACACCAAAGAUCUUGUGUUGAAACACCUCAACAGAACUAAGUGGUCGAGAGAAAACACAAACAUAUUAUGAACGUUGCUAGAUCUCUGCUCUUUCAAUUCAAUAUACCAAAAGAAAAUUGGGGUCAUGCUGUCAUUCAUUUUGUUUUCUUGAUCAACAGGUUACCCACUCCUGUUCUCAAUUUUAAGUGUCCUUAUGAGGCCCUAUUACAUAAAAAACCUAAUCUCAGUAAUCUUAGAGUGUUUGGUUGCCUUGCCUAUGCCUCUACCCUCACCAACAAUAGGACUAAACUUGAUCCAAGAGCCACCAAGUGCUUAUUCCUUGGAUACACUGAUGGGACCAAAGGUUUCCUCUUAUAUGAUAUGCAUCUGAAGAACAUUUUCUUGUCUCGAAAUGUAAUGUUCCAUGAGCAUGUCUUUCCAUGCCAUGAUACACAAUGCAUACACAAGCACACUUUUGACACUACUGAAAUUGUGGAAUCCUCCCCAUCCCCUGCCUCACAACCUCUCCUUGACUAUCCAUUCAUCAAUGAGACCACCAACACUGCACCUUCCCAUACUGACCAUAAUUCCCUACACAACUCACCUAUGCCACCAUCCUCACCCAUCCAUACUGAGAUCACACCAAGAAGAUCCCUUAGACCUUCACAUCCUUCUAGAUACCUUCAGGACUAUCACUGCAAUUAUUUAGCUUCUGUGCCCAUCACACAAAAUUCUACCAUCAAGCACCCCCUUAACAAUGUCCUAUGCUACAAGCACUUAUCCACUACACAACUCCAUCACAUACUAUCCAUCACCUCUCACAUUGAGCCUAUGACAUACAAUAGAUACAUCAAGUCUACUGAUUGGAUUAAGGCUAUAAACACUAAGUUACAAGCCCUGCAUCUAAAUAACACUUGAACCCUUGUCACUCUUCCACCCAACAAAACUGCCAUUGGGUGCAAAUGGGUUUAUAAACUCAAAUACAAUGAUGAUGGCAGCAUUGAAAGACACAAGGCACGCCUUGUUGGAAAAGGGUAUAAUCAAAUAGAGGGAUUGGAUUAUAAUGAGACUUUUGCCCCUGUAAUCAAGCUUACUACCAUCAGAUUACUCCUGGCUCUUGCUGCCAUGAAAGGAUGGACAUUGCAUCAACUUGAUGUCAAUAAUGCCUUACUCCAUGGAGACCUUAAUGAGGUUGUUUACAUGACCUUACCCACUGGUGUUCACAACUCUAAACCCAACCAAGUCUGCCAAUUAAACAAAUCACUAUACGGCUUGAAACAAGCUAGUAGGCAGUGGUUUGCCAAGCUAUCCAACUCUCUUCAUUACUUAGGUUACAAGCAAUCCCAACAUGAUCAUUCCCUCUUUACUAAAACACAUGAUACCCAUUUCACUGCCCUGUUAAUCUAUGUUGAUGAUCUAAUCUUAGCAGGGGAUGAUUUGACUGAAAUACAAUCUGUAAAGACCCAUCUUGACACUCAGUUUAAAAUCAAGGACUUAGCCACAUUAAAAUACUUCCUAGGCCUUGAGGUAGCCCGGUCCAAAUUAGGAAUAACCUUGUGCUAGAGAAAAUAUGCCUUAGAUCUUCUCAAUGACACUGGUUUCCUCACUUCUAAACUAGUUCCCACACCUAUGGUUAAAAACACCCAUCUACAUCAGCAAGACAGUGAUCCAUUCCAUGAUCCCCUCUUGUACAGACAACUAAUUGGCAGAUUGCUUUACCUAACAAACACACGACCUGAUUUAAACUUUGCCAUACAACAACUCACCCACUUCAUGGCUGCUUCUACUGUUAACCACUAUAAAGCCAUGACUCAAAUACUUAGAUACAUCAAAGGCACCCCUGGACAAGGAUUGUUCUACCCUACCACCUCUGUUUUGCAAAUAAAAGGAUUUUCUUAUUCUGAUUGGGCCUCUUGCCCUGAUACCAGAAAAUCUAUUUCAGGGUACUCCAUGUUCUUAGGAGAUGCCCUUGUUUCUUAGAAAUCCAAGAAACAAAACACCGUUUCUAGAUCAUCCUCAGAAGUUGAGUAUCGUGCCCUUGCUAUUGCUUCUUGUGAGAUUCAAUGGCUAACUUACUUGCUCACUGAUUUCCAUAUUGAUUACAAACACCCUGCUCUCUUAUAUUGUGAUAAUAAUUCGACUAGAUAUAUUGCUGCUAAUGCUGUUUUCCAUGAGCGUACUAAUCAUAUAGAAAUAGAUUGCCAUGUUGUUAGGGAAAGGUUACAAAACAAACUCUUCCACCUCCUGCCUAUUUCCACUUCAAAGCAGGUUGCUGAUCUCUUAACAAAACCAUUAGAACCUGCACCUUUUUCUUAUUUGUUGGGCAAGCUGGGUAUACUUAACAUAUAUUCUCCAGCUUGAAGGGGGGUAUUAACCUCACCCCUCUCUAUGAUUGUAUUAUUACUACUCUAAUUGUUUCUGCUUAAGCUUUCUGAUUCUUCUAUUAUGUUUACAUAUUAUGUUUACAUGUCUCAUUGCAUUUUAUAUCUUAGCCUAUGCCUUUAGUGCAUGAGGAAGCCUUAUAAUAUUGCAGGCUCUAGCUCGCGAUGAAGAUAGGGAGACUAGGAUCAUUGCACACAAGAAUACAACACAUAAAUUUGCCUGCUGCCUCCAUACAUUGAGGCUGCAAGUUGCUCUGCCUGCAUACAUUGAGGCUGCAAGUUGCUCUAUUUUUCAACUUCAACCUGAUCAUAUCAAGCCAUUCUUGAUUCAUUUUGUAUAAGUGGUUUAGCAACAGAACUCUUAGCCUUUUUGGCACGUGAUUAAUAUGUUUAGUGUGUUAGUUAUUAGUUAGUUUGCUUGUCAAGAAGUUGUUUUUCUGUUACUUCUUUUCCAAGCAAACUUCAUUCGGUUAGCAAGCUAUAAAUAUAAAUGCUUGUUGGUUUUGUAAACACACUUUGAAUAAUCAAUACAAUUCAAUACAUUUUUACAUUCUCUUCUCAUUAUGAAGUCUUUUAUGGUAUCAGAGCUCUCCAAGUGAGAGCUCUGCUGCUAAAUCAUUUACACAUCUCCAUCUUCUUGCCAAUUCUUCACAUCUUGUUCACAAGAAAACUCACAAACAUGGACGCUGAAUCAGAUCAAACACAUCAUACAUACCAAAAUCCAUAUGCAACACAAAAUCCCUAUUACUUACAUCCUGGUGAAAAUCCAGGCAUUACUUUGGUAUCUCCUCCCCUUGAUGGAGGAAACUACCAAUCAUGGUCAAGAUCAAUGAAAAGGGCACUCAGUUCGAAGAAUAAGUUCAAGUUUUUUAAUGGAACAAUACAAGUUCCUCAUCAAUCAGACCAGAUGUAUGAUUCUUGGGAGAGGUGCAACAACAUGGUGAUAUCUUGGAUCACAAGAUCACUAACACAGCAGAUUGCUCAAAGCAUCGUGUAUAUAGAAAAUGCACAAGAAUUAUGGGAUGAUCAGAAUUAGUACUCGUUUUAUAGAUCGUGUAUAUAGAAAAUGCACAAGAAAAUGCACUAAUGAUCAGAAUAAGUGUAAAGAGUAAUAAUCAGGCGCUUCAGUUGCAAUCACAGAAUUGAUGCUUCAGCUACAACCAGCAAUUAGGAGAGGUAAACCAGAAAGUCUUUCAGUUAAAACAAUAAUCAGUAUAAAUGAAUGAUCUUAAUGGGGUAGUUGAGAUGAUGGAAUGAUUAAAGUCAGAAAACGUUUCUGACUCUAAUGAGCAACCUAAAAGUUUUUCACAUCGGGACACAACCAGUAUAAAAUGACAUGAAUCAGAAUAUGCAAAGGAAAGAGAUUACAUAUACAUUACAACACAGAAAAAUAAGAGAAACAGACUACAACACAAAGAGAGAGGGAGAACAUACUAAUAGGGGGAUAUACACAUACGCAUACACAACCAUAAGAAAAAUCAAAGAGGAAACAUAAACACAUAGGAUACGCAAUCAAAGAACGCACAUACUUUGCAAUAGAGAACAUAUAAUCCAAAGGCAUACACAGGGAGAAAAAUCAGUGAGCACAUUAAGUUCACACUUCAUAACAAUUAGAGACGCACCUACACAUAUAUUGUGAAAUCAGAACAUCAUAGACCACAUAUCACUAUACACAAGAAUAUCACACGCAACAGGACACGAUACAAAGAAAUCAGAGAUAUCAUAUCUACCCAGAAAAGAGUAUCGACAGUAAAGAUCAAGAAGGAAACUGAGAAUGGAUUCUUGAGACAAAAAUCAAGGAUCAACUAGAAACAAGAAGUCGACAUCUAAAGGGUAAAUCUCAGGUAAGCUACUCAUCCUAUAAAUAUUUACAAACAGAAUGCAUUUUAUUCACUAAAUGUUCUGAAUACCAAAGAAGAUAGGUAUCAUAUAGUCAUAACUAUAACAUAGAUCAAGAAACAAUAGCGCACAUGGUUUAGAAAUUUGAGUUCAACUCCCCAUGUAAUUACAACAUAAGAAAUGGAAAAGAUAAUUAAAAAAAUUCAAUAGAAUAAAGAAAGGGGUGAUAACCGUGCUCACCCUUGCAUCGGCAAAUUUGGUGGAAUGUUGUUGCCUCCUUUAUUCACGGUUACCGUCGGUCAAGUGGGGGAGAAUAGAAACCCGAACCACCGCCUUGCGGUGACAUUACCGUCGCUCCGCGAGUGAGUAGGAGAAGGAGAUGAUUUAGGGAUUCCAUUCCCUUUUGGCCUCCUUCACGUGACUUAGGGAUUUUUUCCCUCUUUCAACCUCAUUCACGUUUGGUCUGAGUGUUUAAAGUAAUCCUUUUUUUG
rnacentral:lncRNA from 1 species